GACGAACGCUGGCGGCGUGCUUAACACAUGCAAGUCGAACGAGAUCCAAUGUGUAGCAAUACACAGGAAGAUCUAGUGGCGAACGGGUGAGGAACACGUGGGAAACGUACCCCAGACUUUGGGAUAACAGUCCGAAAGGACUGCUAAUACCAAAUAACGUCGGAAGUCCGCAUGGACAUCUGACGAAAGGGAUUCCGGUUUGGGAGCGUCUCGCGGACCUAUCAGCUAGUUGGAGGGGUAACGGCCCACCAAGGCAACGACGGGUAGCUGGUCUUAGAGGAUGGUCAGCCACACUGGGACUGAGACACGGCCCAGACUCCUACGGGAGGCAGCAGUGGGGAAUCUUGCGCAAUGGGCGAAAGCCUGACGCAGCAACGCCGCGUGCGGGAAGAAGGCUUUCGGGCUGUAAACCGCUUUCAGUAGGAACGAAACUGACGGUACCUACAGAAGAAGGAGCGGCCAACUAUGUG
rnacentral:rRNA from 1 species